rnacentral:rRNA from 1 species
UACGUAGGUGACAAGCGUUGUCCGGAUUUACUGGGCGUAAAGAGCGCGCAGGCGGUCGUUCAAGUCGAGUGUGAAAGCCCCCGGCUCAACUGGGGAGGGUCAUUCGAUACUGAUCGACUCGAAGGCAGGAGAGGGUAGUGGAAUUCCCGGUGUAGUGGUGAAAAUGCGUAGAUAUCGGGAGGAACACCAGUGGCGAAGGCGACUACCUGGCCUGUUCUUGACGCUGAGGCGCGAAAGCUAGGGGAGCAAACGGGG